UCGACGGCAGCACAGCAGAGCUUGCUCUGUGGGUGGCGAGUGGCGGACGGGUGAGUAAUGCAUCGGGACCUACCCAGACGUGGGGGAUAACCUCGGGAAACCGGGACUAAUACCGCAUACGUCCUACGGGAGAAAGCGGGGGAUCUUCGGACCUCGCGCGGUUGGACGGACCGAUGUGCGAUUAGCUAGUUGGUAGGGUAAAGGCCUACCAAGGCGACGAUCGCUAGCUGGUCUGAGAGGAUGAUCAGCCACACUGGGACUGAGACACGGCCCAGACUCCUACGGGAGGCAGCAGUGGGGAAUAUUGGACAAUGGGCGCAAGCCUGAUCCAGCAAUGCCGCGUGUGUGAAGAAGGCCUUCGGGUUGUAAAGCACUUUUAUCAGGAACGAAAUACCACGGGUCAAUAACCGGUGGGGCUGACGGUACCUGAGGAAUAAGCACCGGCUAACUUCGUGCCAGCAGCCGCGGUAAUACGAAGGGUGCAAGCGUUAAUCGGAAUUACUGGGCGUAAAGGGUGCGUAGGCGGUUCGUUAAGUCUGUUGUGAAAUCCCCGGGCUCAACCUGGGAAUGGCAAUGGAUACUGGCGAGCUAGAGUGUGUCAGAGGAUGGUGGAAUUUCCGGUGUAGCGGUGAAAUGCGUAGAGAUCGGAAGGAACAUCAGUGGCGAAGGCGGCCAUCUGGGACAACACUGACGCUGAAGCACGAAAGCGCGGGGAGCAAACAGGAUUAGAUACCCUGGUAGUCCACGCCCUAAACGAUGCGAACUGGAUGUUGGUCUNCACUCGGAGAUCAGUGUCGAAGNUAACGCGUUAAGUUCGC
rnacentral:rRNA from 1 species